AGAGUUUGAUCCUGGCUCAGAUUGAACGCUGAUGCUUUACACUGCAAGUCGAACGGUAACAGGUUAAGCUGACGAGUGGCGAACGGGUGAGUAAUGCAUCGGAACGUGCCCGGUCGUGGGGGAUAACGCAGCGAAAACUGCGCUAAUACCGCAUACGAUCUGAGGAUGAAAGCGGGGGACCAAGGCCUCGCGCGAUCGGAGCGGCCGAUGUCAGAUUAGGUAGUUGGUGGGGUAAAGGCUCACCAAGCCGACGAUCUGUAGCUGGUCUGAGAGGACGACCAGCCACACUGGGACUGCUCACCAAGCCGACGAUCUGUAGCUGGUCUGAGAGGACGACCAGCCACACUGGGACUGCUCACCAAGCCGACGAUCUGUAGCUGGUCUGAGAGGACGACCAGCCACACUGGGACUGAACACGGCCCAGACUCCUACGGGAGGCAGCAGUGGGGAAUUUUGGACAAUGGGCGCAAGCCUGAUCCAGCAAUGCCGCGUGCAGGAAGAAGGCCUUCGGGUUGUAAACUGCUUUUGUACGGAGCGAAAAGGUCUUCCCUAAUACGGGAGGCUGAUGACGGUACCGUAAGAAUAAGCACCGGCUAACUACGUGCCAGCAGCCGCGGUAAUACGUAGGGUGCGAGCGUUAAUCGGAAUUACUGGGCGUAAAGCGUGCGCAGGCGGUUUUGUAAGACAGGCGUGAAAUCCCCGGGCUCAACCUGGGAAUGGCGCUUGUGACUGCAAAGCUGGAGUGCGGCAGAGGGGGAUGGAAUUCCGCGUGUAGCAGUGAAAUGCGUAGAUAUGCGGAGGAACACCGAUGGCGAAAGCAAUCCCCUGGGCCUGCACUGACGCUCAUGCACGAAAGCGUGGGGAGCAAACAGGAUUAGAUACCCUGGUAGUCCACGCCCUAAACGAUGUCAACUGGUUGUUGGGUCUUUACUGACUCAGUAACGAAGCUAACGCGUGAAGUUGACCGCCUGGGGAGUACGGGCCGCAAGGUUGAAACUCAAAGGAAUUGACGGGGACCCGCACAGCGGUGGAUGAUGUGGUUUAAUCGAUGCACGCGAAA
rnacentral:rRNA from 1 species